CACCUACACUCCUACGGGAGGCAGCAGUGGGGAAUAUUGCACAAUGGGGGAAACCCUGAUGCAGCCAUGCCGCGUGUGUGAAGAAGGCCUUCGGGUUGUAAAGCACUUUCAGUAGGGAGGAAGGUAGUGUAGUUAACACCUGCAUUAUUUGACGUUACCUACAGAAGAAGCACCGGCUAACUCCGUGCCAGCAGCCGCGGUAAUACGGAGGGUGCGAGCGUUAAUCGGAAUUACUGGGCGUAAAGCGCAUGCAGGUGGUUUGUUAAGUCAGAUGUGAAAGCCCGGGGCUCAACCUCGGAAUUGCAUUUGAAACUGGCAGACUAGAGUACUGUAGAGGGGGUAGAAUUUCAGGUGUAGCGGUGAAAUGCGUAGAGAUCUGAAGGAAUACCGGUGGCGAAGGCGGCCCCCUGGACAGAUACUGACACUCAGAUGCGAAAGCGUGGGGAGCAAACAGGAUUAGAUACCCUGGUAG
rnacentral:rRNA from 1 species